rnacentral:lncRNA from 1 species
GUUUAAAUGUCUCUGAAACACUUACUGAAAUAUUAAUAGUAUACUGUCAAAUGUACUUGAUUUCAAGUUUCAAAUUUAAAAGUUAUUUUUGCACAUUGCAAACAGUUUGCAGUAGUAAGCUCUUUCCUCAUUUACAAAGUUUUUUCCACACAUGUUCUCACUCGGUCAUCACACCUACCUUGUUAGAUAAGGAGUAUAUUACAAUCCCCUUUUCAUAGAUAAAAAUACUAGAACUGAAACCUAAGGAGGUAUUGGUCCUAUGCCUUGGAAGUCCUAUGGCCAAGGUCCUAUGGCUUGGAAAUGGCAGGGCUAUUAGUCUACCUGUAGUAUUCUGGCUCCAAGUGGCACAUUCUUUUCCAUUACCCCACAUAUGUCAUUGAUGGCUCCUACCUGUCGUCUUUCAGGAGGUAGGAAUUCAAGAGGCCAGAUGAAGAGCAGUCAGCAGGGCUGGCACGGACAGUCUGAAAAUCCUUCUCUUGAGUAACCAAACACACAGCUAUCGUUUAUUUGAGCAACAGUGAAGUCUAUGCUGCAAGUGAACCUGGGUAACCCGAGGCACAGGGCCAAACAUCUGGUAACAAUAAAAUCAACACAACGGUAGAAGAAGAUCAAGAAUCCUGUAACCAUAAGAACCUCGGGCAGUCUUCAGUACUGAUGCGUGCCAAGAUAUGUUUGGGCAAGAGAAUAUGGAUGGAAUGUUCAUCUCUUCACCAGAGGGUGACAUGGAAUGCCAGUGAGUCAGGUUUUGUCAGAAGACAGUAUCGAGUUGCAGAGAAGAAGAUUAUCUGCAGAGUAUCUUGUACCUUGAAGUUACUUAGAGGAAUGCCAAAGAACAAUAAGAGAGAGAAGAAAAUAGGAGAAAGCGGUGGAAAUUGAGAAAUCCUUUGCCAAUACCGAGGCACUGACAGGGAGGUUUAUGUCAAAAUAUUUAUGGAAUUUAG